rnacentral:rRNA from 1 species
AUUGAACGCUGGCGGCAGGCCUAACACAUGCAAGUCGAGCGGCAGCGGGAAAGUAGCUUGCUACUUUUGCCGGCGAGCGGCGGACGGGUGAGUAAUGCCUGGGAAAUUGCCCAGUCGAGGGGGAUAACAGUUGGAAACGACUGCUAAUACCGCAUACGCCCUACGGGGGACAGCAGGGGACCUCCGGGCCUUGCGCGAUUGGAUAUGCCCAGGUGGGAUUAGCUAGUUGGUGAGGUAAUGGCUCACCAAGGCGACGAUCCCUAGCUGGUCUGAGAGGAUGAUCAGCCACACUGGAACUGAGACACGGUCCAGACUCCUACGGGAGGCAGCAGUGGGGAAUAUUGCACAAUGGGGGAAACCCUGAUGCAGCCAUGCCGCGUGUGUGAAGAAGGCCUUCGGGUUGUAAAGCACUUUCAGCGAGGAGGAAAGGUUGGCGCCUAAUACGUGUCAACUGUGACGUUACUCGCAGAAGAAGCACCGGCUAACUCCGUGCCAGCCGCCGCGGUAA